UUGGCAAUUAGCCUUGCUUUAUAGAGAUCUAAGCUUCCAUCCAGUUUUAUUUUGAAAGUGAAGAUCCACUUACAGCAAAUUGGUCAUUUCCUCUGUGGUAAAUCAGUUAGCUCCUGAUAGGACCCUGCGAUUGCUGAGAUUUUCUAAGGAUGAAUAAUGAUGUUAUUGCUCGACUGAUUACCCUGCAAAGCUGUUAACCAGAUUACUUCAACUGGAGAUAACUGAAUAUAUGAAAUGGAAUAUAAAUUGUUUAUUGAUGGGAAAAGAAAGACACUAGGAUUGAACAAAUGAUACCGAAUGAAAUACAAGAUACUCCCAGGCACUUCGAGAGGCCCAAC
rnacentral:lncRNA from 1 species